rnacentral:tRNA from 1 species
GUCCCUGUAGCGCAAUGGAUAGCGCGUUGGACUUCUAAUCCAAAGGUCGUGGGUUCGAAUACUAACUGGGAUG